ensembl:lncRNA
CUAAAGAUAUUCUGAUAAAUUUUGAAGAGACACGAAAAGGAGCAGGAGACUGGGUUUUGGUUAGAAGAAGUUGUCUAAAGAGCAGGUGGUCUACAGAGACACUGAGUGAAGGGGCUAUGCUAUGCCAGGAGCACUUAGGGCCCCACUCAACCCCGGAGGUAUCCUCAGCAUCAGAGCCUUCUUUCCAGGAUGCAGACCCGGCGUGGGAAGAAAUUCCUACCCUGCCGUGAUCUAAGACCCGGUGUAUGUCAGGGCAUUUUGACACCUGCAGGCACGGCGAACCACAGCCUGGCUCUGGCGUGUGUAAGCAAACACAAUUAAGUCCAUUCUCUCAAAGCCAGGACGUGGCCUUUUUUGUCUGUUGUGAUGGGACAGGAGCCAAUGGGUGAGGAUCCCACAGAAGACAGUGCGAUUGCUUUAAAAUGAAGCACGAAUGCCCUUUCCUUUCCUGUUCAAGGGAGAGAAGCACAGCUGAGAUUAAACCACCUACAACUUGACCACACCUGGGGCCUUUGUUAUAUUUAUAUAAGUGGGCAAACUCCUCUCAUUCUUCCAUGCCGAUCAGAACACCAGGUGUCAGUCAUUCAGCCUUUUUUUCUUUCUCUCUUUUUAUUUUGGCUGUUUGUGUUUUUCAUAUUACAAAAGUAAUGCAGCAUCUUUUUUAAAACGUAGAAACUAUAAAUAAAUAAAGACAAAGAAAAAUCGCCUGUAAUCUUACCACAGAGCAGGAGCCAUUCUGAACACUUCUGGUUCUGCUCCUGCAAUUGCUUUUUUUAUGCCUAGAUACACACCCCUGUGGGUUUCUUACGAAAAAUGGGUGUGAACGCACUCACUGUUUUUUCCUGCUCCGUUGGCACUACACUAUGUGUUUGCCUGAAUAUCUUUCCACAGUUGUGCCAGAUCUCAUCUGCCCGCCUGUAUUGGUUGAACGGUGCCCCCCUCCCGAAAGACAUGUCCACUCAGAAGCUGUGAAUGUGACCUUAUUUGGAAAAAGGCCUUUGCAGUUGUGAGUACAUUAAGGAUUUCAAUAUAAGAUCAUGCUGGAUUAGCUGGGCGCGCCCUAAACCCAAUGGCAAGUGUUCUUAGAAGAGAAGGAAGGAGAAAAACAGAGGAGAAGGCCAUGGGAAGAGAAGCAGGGAUUUGAGUGAUGUGUCUGCAAGCCAAGAAAGGCCAAGGAUGGCUGGCAGCCCCCAGGAGCCAGGAGAGAGGCGUGGACGGAUUCUCCCUUAGAACCUCCAGAGGGGACCCGUUGAUUUUAGACUCGAUUUUAGGCUUCCAUUCUCCAGAACGGAACAAAUUGGCAAGAAGUCAAAGGAGCAAGAUGUCCACAAGGAAGAGCAGCUCCUCCGCACUUCCUCCCAGGCCUGCCCGCCAGGCGCCAUAUGUAGGCGCAGGCUCCGGUGAGCAAGGUGCUAGGCUCUGGUGUGUGUGACAGCAGAACUCCAGCCUCUCCUCCCCGCCUCCGCUCUCAAGAACUAACAUCAAGAAAGAUGUCUCCCCACCUUGUAUUUAUUCAUCCCUGUAUUCACUCAGCCCAGCAUGAUAUUUAAAAAUACGUGCUCAAGAGUCCAACUGCCUGGGUUCAAAUCCUAACCCCAACACUUACUAGCUGUGUGACUGACCUUGGGAAAGCUAUUCAAACCUCCUGUGUCUUCGUUUCCUUCUCUGUAAAAUGAGGCUAUUACUAGUUUCCAACCCAAAAGGCUGUUGGAGGGACUGAAAGAGCUAAGGCGUGUAAAGCACUUUAGAAUCGUGCCUGGGACAUGUUAGGAACUAAAUACACAUUGUCUCUUAUUAGUUGAGAAAUGCUUCUCAACCACCAUGUUCCAGUACAAGAGAUACAGCCCGUUCUCUCAGCCUAUUGGAAGGUGGACGAGGAAGCCACACAAGAGGACCAGGGCACCACUGGGGUUCGGGGACCUAGGUGGGUGGACGUCCAGAUCAGUCUGGGGUGGAGGAAGAGACUCAAGGAAGACUUUCCAGAAGGAAUGACCUGUGCCCUGAAUUUCUAAUGACAAAUAAGAUCUCACUAGGUGAAGAAAGCCAGGGAAAGGAGAGAGGAGAAAACCGGAGAAAAGCGACCUUGGCUGGUGGUUCUGUAAGGUUAGAGCAGAUCAUGGGAGACUCCCAGUGGCAGAGAGGGUGCAGCCGAACCACGAAGGGUCUUUUCCGCCGUCCUUAGGAAUUUAAGCUUUUUAGUAAUUUUAUUUAGGAAUAAAAGCCAAGGUGGGGUCCUGAAAGGUUUUAAACUAGCUGACCCCCUGAAGGGUUAACAAACCAGCAUUCCACUGUCCGUCCUCAUCUUUAUAGUAUAUCUGAAAGAAAACUUGUUUUUUUUCUUUUGUCAUCUCAAAAAUAUUUGUAGUAACACUUGUCUGGGUCUUGAAUUGUGAUCCAUUUUUACUGAAGCGUAGUUAUGAUUUCGUAGGGGCAGCUGGCUAGAUAAUAAAUGCUGGCUCCUGCGAGAUUUUCUCCCCAUUUCUUUUCUCAUUUUGUGCCAUCAUUUCCAAAAAGGGCCCGCCAAUUGUAUUGCUUCAUCUGAGGUCCCUGACGUGGACGGACACACGGCGGAGCCUUCUGCAGCAUAUAGGGCAAACCGCUUGGCUGAGCUGUCAAGUCCGUGCAAGGGUAAUCAGCAGAUUUAUUUGAGGAAAUGUAUUUAUGGGACUAAAUGGCUGUCCUAAAUGGGGCCAUUAUCUGGCCUUUUCGCUGUUGCUAUAAAUGUCCCUCCAGAACGUGGAUACCCACAAUAAGUCCAUCACGCUUCCCGGACACGACUUCAAGACAAUAUUUAUGCUAGUUCCAGUCAAUGCACAUGCAUGUGUGGGGGUCAUUUCAGUAGUGUUUCUCGAACACUUAGGCACAAACUCAAUGCCAGAGGCUUUAUUAAACAUUUCCAGGGCAAUCAAAGGCAGAAAGAGGAGGAAAAGCAGAGAUUUGCUGAAUAGUCAAAGGAGAGUAGGGGUUGAAAUGCAAUCCUAAAUUAUUCACAACCUGGUAUAAGCCCAGGAGAAAUCAUAACUAUACAUCCUGGUGUCACUUCAAAGGACACCAUCUUUCUUCUGGAGCCGGGAGUGCCCGCUCCAUCGAGUUCAGUGAGAAAAAGCCCAGCUGAUUGGGGAACUUCCAGGAGGCCAUCUGCAAGGAACAGGAGGCUGAAACUUCCCAGGCUAAACCCCUCUGAAGGCGUUGGAUAGCCACACCUCCAUCAACAGAGAAACUCUUGGUUUCCAUGGUUCUGGACCCCACUCUGCGAAUAUACUCUGAGACAUAGCUGCUUCGAGAUUUCUUAGAGAAUGUCUGUGACAAACCCCAAAAUACCCUUUCCAUAUGUUCUUGUUUUGCUUCC